rnacentral:rRNA from 1 species
UACGUAGGGUGCGAGCGUUAAUCGGAAUUACUGGGCGUAAAGCGUGCGCAGGCGGUUUUGUAAGUCUGUCGUGAAAUCCCCGGGCUUAACCUGGGAACUGCGUUUGAAACUACAAGGCUAGAGUGUGGCAGAGGGGGGUGGAAUUCCACGUGUAGCAGUGAAAUGCGUAGAGAUGUGGAGGAACACCGAUGGCGAAGGCAGCCCCCUGGGUUAACACUGACGCUCAGGCACGAAAGCGUGGGGAGCAAACAGG